rnacentral:sRNA from 1 species
UAUGAUAAACAGGGUCCAGGUUGCAAAAGCCCCGUAUAACGGGGUUUUUUGUUGGCGAAAUAUGAGAUUUACUUGGGCUUCAUGCCCUUUUUUU